rnacentral:lncRNA from 1 species
CUCUUCCCUUGUUAGAGCAGCCACUAGGACAUCCCGUUCCUGCACGACAUCGAUGACAGCGAUAGCUUUUUAAUGAUUCAACACCUGCUAUUGGUUGAAAAUCUUUUCCUUGGCAUUACACGAUUCACCUUGAAGUUCCAAUGUGCGCAUAGACGUCACCCAUCUGAACUCUUUGCUGGCGAUUAGCGAUUCCAGAGCAAGUAUUUUCCUCUGGGCAGAGUCAAACCGAUGGUGAUAUAAAGUCAAUUUUGCAACUAAACCCCACAUCUCUUUCCCCGCUGAGUCAGAUACCUUUUUUCAUCUCCUUGGUCAGUCAUGCUCUAUCA